GACGAACGCUGGCGGCGUGCUUAACACAUGCAAGUCGAACGGAAAGGCCCUGCUUUUGUGGGGUGCUCGAGUGGCGAACGGGUGAGUAACACGUGAGUAACCUGCCCUUGACUUUGGGAGAACUUCAGGAAACUGGGGCUAAUACCGGAUAGGAGCUCCUGCUGCAUGGUGGGGAAUGGAACGUUGCGGCGGUUGGGGAUGGACUCGCGGCUUAUCAGCUUGUUGGUGGGGUAGUGGCUUACCAAGGCUUUGACGGGUAGCCGGCCUGAGAGGGUGACCGGCCACAUUGGGACUGAGAUACGGCCCAGACUCCUACGGGAGGCAGCAGUGGGGAAUGUUGCACGAUGGGCGGAAGCCGGAUGCAGCAACGCCGCGUGCGGGAUGACGGCCUUCGGGUUGUAAACCGCUUUCGCCUGUGACGAAGCGUGAGUGACGGUAAUGGGUAAAGAAGCACCGGCUAACUACGUG
rnacentral:rRNA from 1 species